AUACGUAGGGAGCGAGCGUUGUCCGGAAUUACUGGGCGUAAAGGGCGCGUAGGCGGCGCUUCAAGUCGUCUGUCAAAUGGGAGGGCUUAACCCUUUUUCGCAGACGAAACUGGAGAGCUUGAGAAGCAGAGAGGCAAGCAGAAUUCCUGGUGUAGCGGUGAAAUGCGUAGAUAUCAGGAAGAAUACCAGUGGCGAAGGCGGUUUGCUGGCUGCAUACUGACGCUGAAGCGCGAAAGCCAGGGGAGCAAACGGGAUUAGAUACCCCGGUAGUCCUGGCAGUAAACGAUGUAUGCUGGGUGUGAGACUAGCGAUAGUUUCGUGCCGAAGUUAACGCGAUAAGCAUACCGCCUGGGGAGUACGGCCGCAAGGCUAAAACUCAAAUGAAUUGGCGGGG
rnacentral:rRNA from 1 species